rnacentral:rRNA from 1 species
GAUGAACGCUAGCUACAGGCUUAACACAUGCAAGUCGAGGGGCAGCAUGAUUGAAGCUUGCUUCAAUUGAUGGCGACCGGCGCACGGGUGAGUAACACGUAUCCAACCUUCCGUACACUCAGGGAUAGCCUUUCGAAAGAAAGAUUAAUACCUGAUGGUAUCUUAAGCACACAUGUAAUUAAGAUUAAAGAUUUAUCGGUGUACGAUGGGGAUGCGUUCCAUUAGGUAGUAGGCGGGGUAACGGCCCACCUAGCCUACGAUGGAUAGGGGUUCUGAGAGGAAGGUCCCCCACAUUGGAACUGAGACACGGUCCAAACUCCUACGGGAGGCAGCAGUGAGGAAUAUUGGUCAAUGGACGAGAGUCUGAACCAGCCAAGUAGCGUGAAGGAUGAAGGUCCUACGGAUUUGUAAAACUUCUUUUAAUAAGGGAAUAAAACCUCCAACGUGUGGGAGCUUGUAUGUACCUCAUGAAUAAGCAUCGG